AUGCACGCUGGCGGCGUGCCUAAUCCAUGCAAGUCGCGCGCACAGACGAGGAGCUUGCUCCUCUGACGUUAGCGGCGGACGGGUGAGUAACACGUGGAUAACCUACCUAUAAGACUGGGAUAAUUUCGGGAAACCGGAGCUAAUACCGGAUAAUAUAUUGAACCGCAUGGUUCAAUAGUGAAAGACGGUUUUGCUGUCACUUAUAGAUGGAUCCGCGCCGCAUUAGCUAGUUGGUAAGGUAACGGCUUACCAAGGCAACGAUGCGUAGCCGACCUGAGAGGGUGAUCGGCCACACUGGAACUGAGACACGGUCCAGACUCCUACGGGAGGCAGCAGUAGGGAAUCUUCCGCAAUGGGCGAAAGCUUGACGGAGCAACGCCGCGUGAGUGAUGAAGGUCUUCGGAUCGUAAAACUCUGUUAUUAGGGAAGAACAAAUGUGUAAGUAACUAUGCACGUCUUGACGGUACCUAAUCAGAAAGCCACGGCUAACUACGUG
rnacentral:rRNA from 1 species